rnacentral:rRNA from 1 species
GACGAACGCUGGCGGCGUGCUUAACACAUGCAAGUCGAACGAUGAAGAAAAGAAUUGAAGCUUCGGCAGAAAUUCAUUUCGGAUUAGUGGCAGACUGGUGAGUAACGCGUGAGCAACCUACCUCUUACAAAGGGAUAGCCUCGGGAAACCGGGAUUAAUACCAUAUAACAUUGCGACGAAGCAUUUCGAUGCAAUCAAAGCUACGGCGGUAAGAGAUGGGCUCGCGUCCCAUUAACCAGAUGGUGAGGUAACGGCUCACCAUAGUAACGAUGGGUAACCGGCCUGAGAGGGUGAACGGUCACACUGGAACUGAGACACGGUCCAGACUCCUACGGGAGGCAGCAGUGGGGAAUAUUGCACAAUGGAGGGAACUCUGAUGCAGCGACGCCGCGUGAGUGAUGAAGGAAUUCGUUUCGUAAAACUCUGUUCUAUGGGAAGAAAAGGACUGUACCAUAGGAGAAAGCUCCGGCUAAAUACGUG